CACAGUGUUCUGGGAUAUAUCUGGAUGCAGUUAUAUAUCAGAAAUUUUGACUCAGUUUCAGUAACUUAUGUGCCUAUGGCCUUGAUAUCAGGAUACCCAUUUUGGGCAUCCGUGUUUUAUGUCGUAUCAGGAGUUUUUGCAAUAGGAGCAGAGAAGACACAUUCUCCAAAAUUGGUAAGAAUUAUUGAAGCAACUUGAAAAAUAAAAAUUUUGCUUGUCAAAAACAAGGAUAUAAAUAAGGAGGGUAUAUCAUUGCCUCUUAAGCAGUAGAAAUGUAUUCAAAAUACUGAAAUCUAA
rnacentral:lncRNA from 1 species